rnacentral:misc_RNA from 1 species
GAUGAAGAACGCAGCGAAAUGCGAUACUUGGUGUGAAUUGCAGAAUCCCGUGAACCAUCGAGUCUUUGAACGCAAGUUGCGCCCGAAGCCAUUAGGCCGAGGGCACGCCUGCCUGGGCGUCACACGUCGUUGCCCCCCCAUCUAAUCCUUCGGGAUUGUGGGGGGCGGAUGAUGGCCUCCCGUGCGCCUCGUCGCGCGGUUGGCAUAAAUGCCAAGUCCUCGGCGACGCACGCCACGACAAUCGGUGGUUGCGAAACCUCGGUUGCCCGUUGUGUGCGGUCGUCGCGCAUCGAGGGCUCGAAAAAAUUGCCGGGCUCCGGCUCGACUUUCAACGCGACCCCAGGUCAGGCGGGGUUACCCGCUGAAUUUAAGCAUAUCAAUAAGCGGAGGA